ensembl:misc_RNA Gm25888 predicted gene, 25888
GCAAGCAAUGUAGUUGUGACAUCUGUCACCCCACUGGUCACCAGAGCUGAUUUAGGCUGGUCUGGCUGACUAGGCAAGUGUCUCCCUCCCUCACUGCUCCAUUUGUUUCUUUCCUGAAGGGACACACAGUCCCUACCCCAAACAGAGAAGGAUUUGUCUGGCCCAGGGUAUAUAGUAGCUGCACUCCCCUGGUAGAACCUCCAAACAGCUCUCAAGCAUGCAUAGUACUCUUUCAGAGACCUCUUGAGUUCGAUUCCCAGCAACCAUAUGGUGUCUCACAACCUUCUAUCCUGGGAUCUGAU